rnacentral:ncRNA from 2 species
AUCCAUCUUCGGGGCAGGGUGAAAUUCCCGACCGGCGGUAUUUGAAGAUUCCCUCUUCAUCAGCCCGUGAGCUGUAAGAAAAGCUUCAACGCCUGUCUAGGCGUUGAAGCUAGACAUCUUUGCUUUUCUUAUUUGCUGAUCUGGUGUAAUUCCAGAGCCGACAGUACAGUCUGGAUGGGAGAAGAUGACG